UGAGUUUGAUUCUGGCUCAGGACGAACGCUGGCGGCGCGCUUCAUCCAUGCAAGUCGAACGGUCCCGAGACUUCGGUCUCAAUGGGAGAGUGGCGAACGGGUGAGUAACACGUGAGAAACCUACCCCGGAGAUGGGAAUAGCCCAGGGAAACCUGGAUUAAUGCCCAAUACCCUGCCUGCACCUCAUGGUGCGUUCAGGAAACGCUCCGGUGCUCCGGGAGGGUCUCGCGGCCUAUCAGCUUGUUGGUGAGGUAACGGCUCACCAAGGCAUCGACGGGUAGCUGGUCUGAGAGGACGAUCAGCCACACUGGGACUGAGACACGGCCCAGACUCCUACGGGAGGCAGCAGGAGGGAAUAUUGCGCAAUGGGCGAAAGCCUGACGCAGCGACGCCGCGUGGGGGAAGAAGGCCUUCGGGUCGUAAACCCCUUUCAGCAGGGACGAAAUUGACGGUACCUGCAGA
rnacentral:rRNA from 1 species